UGGGGAAUUUUCCGCAAUGGGGGGAACCCUGACGGAGCAACGCCGCGUGCGGGAGGACGGCCUGUGGGUUGUAAACCGCUUUUCUCUGGGAAGAAGGUCUGACGGUACCAGAGGAAUCAGCAUCGGCUAACUCCGUGCCAGCAGCCGCGGUAAUACGGAGGGUGCAAGCGUUGUCCGGAUUUAUUGGGUUUAAAGGGUACGUAGGCGGAUUUUUAAGUCCGUGGUGAAAGCCUACAGCUUAACUGUAGAACUGCCAUGGAUACUGGAAAUCUUGAAUUCAGUUGAGGUAAGCGGAAUUUAUGAUGUAGCGGUGAAAUGCAUAGAUAUCAUAAAGAACACCUAUUGCGAAGGCAGCUUGCUGGACUUGAAUUGACGCUAAGGUACGAAAGCGUGGGGAGCGAACAGGAUUAGAUACCCCCGUAGUCC
rnacentral:rRNA from 1 species